GACGAACGCUGGCGGCGUGCUUAACACAUGCAAGUCAAACGGAAAGGCCCUGCAUUUGUGGGGUGCUCGAGUGGCGAACGGGUGAGUAACACGUGAGUAACCUGCCCUUGACUUUGGUAUAACUUCAGGAAACUGGGGCUAAUACCGGAUAGGAGCUCCUGCUGCAUGGUGGGGGUUGGAAAGUUUCGGCGGUUGGGGAUGGACCCGCGGCUUAUGAGCUUGUUGGUGGGGUAGUGGCUUACCAAGGCUUUGACGGGUAGCCGGACUGAGAGGGUGACCAGCGACAUUGGGACUAGGAUACUGCGCAGACCCGUACGGGGGGAAGCAGUGGGAAGUAUGGCAUAAUGGGCGGACGCCUGAUGCAGAGGCGCCGCGUGCGGGAGGACGUCCUCCGGGUUGUAGACCGAAAUCGCCCGUGACGAAGGGUGAGUGACGGUAACGGGUAAAGAAGCACCGGCUAACUACGUG
rnacentral:rRNA from 1 species